rnacentral:rRNA from 1 species
CCUACGGGAGGCAGCAGUGAGGAAUAUUGGUCAAUGGACGAGAGUCUGAACCAGCCAAGUAGCGUGAAGGAUGACUGCCCUAUGGGUUGUAAACUUCUUUUAUAUGGGAAUAAAAUGUUCCACGUGUGGGAUUUUGUAUGUACCAUAUGAAUAAGGAUCGGCUAACUCCGUGCCAGCAGCCGCGGUAAUACGGAGGAUCCGAGCGUUAUCCGGAUUUAUUGGGUUUAAAGGGAGCGUAGGUGGAUUGUUAAGUCAGUUGUGAAAGUUUGCGGCUCAACCGUAAAAUUGCAGUUGAAACUGGCAGUCUUGAGUACAGUAGAGGUGGGCGGAAUUCGUGGUGUAGCGGUGAAAUGCUUAGAUAUCACGAAGAACUCCGAUUGCGAAGGCAGUUCACUGGACUGCAACUGACACUGAGGCUUGAAAGUGUGGGUAUCAAACAGGAUUAGAUACCCCUGUAGUC